CCUACGGGAGGCAGCAGUGGGGAAUAUUGGGCAAUGGAGGAAACUCUGACCCAGCAACGCCGCGUGAGUGAUGAAGGUCUUCGGAUUGUAAAGUUCUUUUCUAAGGGAAGAAGAAAGUGACGGUACCUUAGGAAUAAGCCUCGGCUAACUACGUGCCAGCAGCCGCUGUAAUACGGAAGGCCCGAGCGUUAUCCGGAUUCAUUGGGGUUAAAGGGAGCGUAGGCGGGCGUUCAAGUCAGCUGUAAAAUCGCGCGGCUCAACCGCGCCCGGCAGUUGAAACUGGACGCCUUGAGUCCACAACAGGCAGGCGGAAGUCGUGGUGUAGCGGUGAAAUGCAUAGAUAUCACGAGGAACCCCGAUUGCGAAGGCAGCCUGCCGGGGAGCGACUGACGCUGAGGCUCGAAGGCGCGGGUAUCAAACAGGAUUAGAUACCCUUGUAGUC
rnacentral:rRNA from 1 species